CAGCAGCAGCAAGCAAUCACUAUUCGUGUGCUUAUCGCCAACAUUUCACAGCAAGCUCAGCAGCAGAACCACCUUCAACCAUAACAUCAGAAAAUUAAGAUUUCCUCCAGACCAUGACCAUCAUCCUAAAGGUCGGUAGCAAUAACGUUCAACCGACGGUACAACCUGGUCAGCAACCGCAAUUAGUGCAAUAGAUCCAAGCCAAAUGUAGAAGACCAUUGACCAACUGCAAAAAAGAUAGCAACAGCACAUUCAAACACAGUAGCAGUACUAUACUGUACCAUGCGGUGUGCAGGAGGACUUUUUUAUUCAGUUGGUGCGGCAAGAUCGAACACCAACAACAUAAUAUGGUAAUCACCCAGCAAGAGAACGCAGUGAUAAUGGGCCAACAGAAAACACAACAUCAAGAUGCUCGGAAAGGACUUUCUCUUUCGAACAAACAUAAUGGCACGUCAAGUUCAAUCGGCUAACCGUUUGGAAUAAGCGCUCAUCAUCGGUUUCAUGGCAGGGAAGUGAGCAGGCAAAAGAAGGCAUCGUUUUUUCCGCAAGGUCGCUCUGGUCAAAACUUCAGCGAAUUGCAAGGAAUAAACCACCCGAGGGACAGUACCCAUGCUGAUUCAGGACGAUUUCCCAUACUUUGUACCUUGCUCUUGAAUUUUAAUACCCGAUCGAAACGAUGGCAAGCGCUGCCGAUAACUGGGUCAAAAAGACGACGGAUCAAGAAAUUUCUGUACUCGGUGUUUUUUUGUUAUAACCUAUUUUUGAAGCGAUCAUUGGGAUGGGAUUUGAAUUUUUCUUUUCAAUACAAAUAGGUUAACGAACUGAGUACAUAUCACCAAGGAUAAGGAUUCAGAGCCGGCGGCUGGCAGUCCAGAGAAAGAGAAUGCGGAAAAACCUAGUCCACCGGCAGUAGAACCAAAGCUGCACCUGAUGUUUGGAGUUCGGUAGCUACGGAAAUUCUGACUCUAGCAGCUCCUGAAGAAAAACAAGCUGCAAGAGAAAAUGG